rnacentral:rRNA from 1 species
AUAUUUAUAUAGUAAAUAACAUUUGCAUAUUAAGUUCUUUAUGUUAUGAAGUAAACGAUUUAAAAUAGAAGAUACAUUUAUUAGUUUUGUAAAUCAAAAAUAGAUUUAAAAUUAGUUCUGGCGAAUCUUGUGCCAGCCGCCGCGGUUAUACAGGGGGAGUGAAAAUGUUUUUAUUAUGAAAAUAAAGGUUUUAUUUUAAUAAAUGCAUUUAGGUGAAAUUUUUGUAGGAAUUUUAAAUCUUGUUUUUGAGGAGUCUUAAAUUUAAAUUAGGAUUAGAUACCCUAGUAUUUAAAGAUUAAUAGUUGGUAGUAAUUUAAAAUUUAUAAAAUCAAAAGAUUAUGGCGGUAUUUUAAGCUAUUUAGAGGAAUUUAUUCUUUAAUGGAUACAACUCAAAAAUCUUACUUAGAUUGGUUAGGCAGUUUGUAUAUCGCUAUCAUGUAAUAAUAUUGAUUGAUUAAUAAUUGGGAUUGCUAUUUGCAAUAACGUUAGGUCAAAAUGCAGCGAAAAUUUAAGGUUGAAAUAAGUUACUUUAAUUAAUAUGUGGUUGUUUGAAAAUAUAUUUUAGGAUUUAAUAGUAAAUUGAAAUUAUAAUGUUUAGUUGAAUUUAGCUCUAGAAUAUGCACAUAUCGCCCGUCACUCUCAGUGAUGAGAUAAGUCGUAACAAAGUAAAAAUACCGGAAGGUGUUUU